UACGUAGGGUGCGAGCGUUGUCCGGAAUUAUUGGGCGUAAAGAGCUCGUAGGCGGUGUGUCGCGUCGGCCGUGAAAACCUGGGGCUCAACUCUGGGCGUGCGGUCGAUACGGGCAUCACUAGAGUUCGGCAGGGGAGACUGGAAUUCCUGGUGUAGCGGUGAAAUGCGCAGAUAUCAGGAGGAACACCGAUGGCGAAGGCAGGUCUCUGGGCCAUAACUGACGCUGAGAAGCGAAAGCAUGGGGAGCGAACAGG
rnacentral:rRNA from 1 species